GUUGGAUUCAUAAUCCGUCUUGACCUUGUGCAACUUCUUGACCACCUCAAUAAUUGAUACUCUUUUUUCAGGCAAGUCACUGGAGCAUAGCAAUCCCAGCUCAACUAUUGACACAAUGCAUCUGUCCAACAUGUUCGAGGAGACGUCCAAGGCUGUUCCAAUGUCGCCGAUCCCAUUUGUUUUCUCAUCUUGUAGCAGCUUGUGGUCAACAACAUCAACAAGCCGAGCCGGAAAUGCAUCAAAAACCCAUUGCCUGAGGCUUAGCUCUCCAUCAAACAUGGGAUCUGUAGGCCUUUUCGCAGUUAAAACUUC
rnacentral:sRNA from 1 species